AAGGGACCUAGCGUAGUUCGGAAUUACUGGGCUUAAAGAGUUCGUAGGUGGUAGAAAAAGUUGGUGGUGAAAUCCCAGAGCUUAACUCUGGAACUGCCAUCAAAACUUUUCAGCUAGAGUAUGAUAGAGGAAAGCAGAAUUUCUAGUGUAGAGGUGAAAUUCGUAGAUAUUAGAAAGAAUACCAAUUGCGAAGGCAGCUUUCUGGAUCAUUACUGACACUGAGGAACGAAAGCAUGGGUAGCGAAGAGGAUUAGAUACCCUCGUAGUCCAUGCCGUAAACGAUGUGUGUUAGACGUUGGAAAUUUAUUUUCAGUGUCGCAGGGAAACCGAUAAACACACCGCCUGGGGAGUACGACCGCAAGGUUAAAACUCAAAUGAAUUGACGGGGACCCGCACAAGUAGUGGAGCAUGUGGUUUAAUUCGAAGAUACGCGCAGAACCUUACCAACACUUGACAUGUUCGUCGCGACUCUAAGAGAUUAGAGUUUUCGGUUCGGCCGGACGAAACACAGGUGCUGCAUGGCUGUCGUCAGCUCGUGUCGUGAGAUGUUGGGUUAAGUCCCGCAACGAGCGCAACCCUCACUUUUAGUUGCCAUCAUUAAGUUGGGCACUCUGAAAGAACUGCCAGUGAUAAGCUGGAGGAAGGUGGGGAUGACGUCAAGUCCUCAUGGCCCUUACGUGUUGGGCUACACACGUGCUACAAUGGCAUCUACAACAGGAAGCAAAACGGCAACGUUAAGCAAAUCCCGAAAAGAUGCCUCAGUUCGGAUUGCACUCUGCAACUCGAGUGCAUGAAGCUGGAAUUACUAGUAAUCGUGGAUCAGCGUGCCACGGUGAAUGCGUUCCCGGGUCUUGUACACACCGCCCGUCACACCAUGGGAGUUGGUUCUACCUUAAGGCAAGGUUUUAAACCCUUGACCACGGUAUAGUCAGCGACUGGGGUGAAGUCGUAACAAGGUAGCCGUAGGGGAACCUGCGGCUGGAUUACCUCCUUUCUAAGGAUGAGUGAAAGUAAAAUUUCACUCUAAAUAAUAUACAUCGGUAAUGUUGACCGUCCUCAUUUCUCUUCUUAAAGUAAUGUUUCCUUCUUGUAGGGCCGGUAGCUCAGUUGGUUAGAGCACACCCUUGAUAAGGGUGGGGUCGAAAGUUCGAGUCUUUCUCGGCCCACCAAAAACCUAAAUGGGGGAUUAGCUCAUCUGGGAGAGCGCCUGAUUUGCAUUCAGGAGGUAGCAGGUUCGAUCCCUGUAUCCUCCACCAGGAAACAUUUAGUUAUUAAAACUGUAAAUAAAAAUAAUUUAUAUCAAUAUCUAUAUCCGAACAUUAAAAGUUAUUAUUUAAUGUUCAAAAUAAAAAUUUGAUCACAACAUAGAUAAAUUUUCCGUUAAAAGAAUUUUUUUCUGUGCAUAAAUCAAGCGUUUAAGGGCGUGUAGUGGAUGCCUUGGCACUGAAAGCCGAUGAAGGACGUGAUAUACUGCGAUAAGUUUCGGGGAGCUGUAUGUAAGCUUUGAUCCGAAAAUUU
rnacentral:sRNA from 1 species